GCCUAAAUAAUACCUUAAAGGGGCCAGAUCCCAUCUGAACUCAGAAGCUAAGCUCUGGCUAGUACAUACAUGGAUGGGAGACCACCAACAAAUAUCAGGUGCUGUAGGCC
rnacentral:rRNA from 1 species